rnacentral:rRNA from 1 species
GACGAACGCUGGCGGCGUGCUUAACACAUGCAAGUCGAACGGAAAGGCCCUGCUCUUGUUGGGUGCUCGUUUGGCGAACGGGUGAGUAACACGUGAGUAACCUGCCCUUGACUUUGGGAUAACUUCAGGAAACUGGGGCUAAUACCGGAUAUGAGCUCCUGCUGCAUGGUGGGGGUUGGAAAGUUUCGGCGGUUGGGGAUGGACUCGCGGCUUAUCAGCUUGUUGGUGUGGUAGUGGCUUACCAAGGCUUUGACGGGUAGCGGACCUGAGAGGGUGAUCGGCCACACGGGAACUGAGACACGGACAAGACUCCUACGGGAGGCAGCAGUAGGGAAUCUUCCGCAGUGGGCGAAAGCCUGACGGAGCAACGCCGCGUGAGUGAUGAAGGUCUUCGGAUCGUAAAACUCUGUUAUUAGGGAAGAACAAAUGUGUAAGUAACUAUGCACGUCUUGACGGUACCUAAUCAGAAAGCCACGGCUAACUACGUG